UGGCAAUGCCAAACAGGGAACAGCUAAGUGUGGAGCCCUGCGGCACCCCAUUCUCUAAAACGUGCUCGUUUGAAUAAGCGUCGCCAACUCGUACGACAAAUUUCCUAUUUUCCACAAAAGAUUGUAUAAACUUUGGCAGAUUCCCUCGUAGAUUAUAUUUGAACAUAUUUUGUAGUAUACCAUACCUCCAAGUCAUGUCGUAUGCACCCUUGAUGUCAAAGAAGACCCCAACCAGGUGCUCGCCACUGUCGAACGUAUUCAGAAUACGAUCGCUCAACUUGACCAGAUGGUCAAUAGUUGAUCGUCCCUUCCGAAAACCGGUUUGAUAUGGGACGUAUAUAUUGUUACGUUCGAGGAACGUUUGCAACCUCCCGUUUACCAUCUUUUCCAACAGUUUGCCUAGACAAGAGGUCAAACUUAUUGGACGGUAGUGUUGUGCUAACAGCGGGUCUUUUCCCGGCUUCGGUAUAGGGACUACAACUGCCUGUUUCCAUUCAGAAGGCACUACAGUGACGAAGCAUCUGGUUAUGGAUACCAUCUCCUCCCGGUGAACAUGACUUGGUGUUACGGAUUGCUUCAUCUAGAUCUUCUAGGUUAAAGGGUAAGUUAUCAUCUAGAGUUUCAUCGGUAUCAAAGUUUAUAGGUGUCAAUUCUUUCUCGAUUUUAGCCUCUAGAAAAGUACGAGGAUAAUUGAGUGAACUGCUAACUUUAUAGAAUUGAUCGGCAAUAAUGUUACUUAUUUCCUGCAGGUUGUUGGUAACUACCCCAUCGGAGUUACGCAGAAAUCUGGGAUAAGCGCAGCCGAUUUUACCGGAUAUUGCUCCUACCUUCUUCCAGACUUCGCCAAUGGUUGUCUCCGGUGUGAUGGUGGAAACGUAUCUUUGCCAUGAGUUUCUUUGUGCCUCUAAUAUCCGCCGGCGACACUCGGAUCUUCGUUUUUUAAAUUCGAUUAAAUUCUCCAUUGUAGGAUGGCGACGGAACCUAUUUAUUGCUCUUUUCUUUAAUAAAAUUUUUUCUUUUAUUUCAGGUGACCACCACGGAACCAUCUUCCUUAUAUUGCCAGGUUUAGAUCUUGGAAUGCUGGCCUCGGCGGCAUUUAAAAUAGAUGAGGUUAGCGUUUGGAGAUUUACCUGGCUUGGCGGGACGAGCAGCCGUGUGAAAAGUUCCCAAUUUGCUUGUUGCAUUUUAAAUUUGGCUAUUGUUCUCACAGGAGUGUUCCUGCCUUGCAAGAUCUAACAACUCCCUGCCACGAGCAUCGUCUGAGCGGGAGCCCCAAACGGUGCUUAAGUCUUUUAGUAAUAGCACUUGAUUUAUACUCAUUAUCUCUUACUAAGCUAAUCGUCCAAAAUGGAAAUUGUAUUAUUUAGGUAUUAUUAAAUGUUGUUGCAUCUUUAAA